rnacentral:piRNA from 1 species
UGCGGAACGAUUGGUCGCUGAGGCGGAUG